ensembl:lincRNA
CCGGGCCAGAGCCGCCGGGCCUCCACACUAACCGAAGGUGCGGACCGGGCCCGCCAACGUGGCCCGGCAGGUUCCCCCGCAGACCUGGGGCAGGCCCGGCAGCCGCGAGCUCUGUGCGCGGGCGAGAUGUGCGGCCCUUGAGUGGGCUGAAUGGAGGACAGCUCGGGCCGGGGCCCCAGGCCAAUCAGGAGCGCCUCUCCAGAUACAAAGCAUCCCAAUCAGGCGGCGGCGCCCCGUUCCCACAUUCUUUGCCGUCACAAAUUGUCACCAUGGGGACCAUCACAAAAAAGACAGCUCCCAAAUGCAAUCAUUUCCCGGUCAAUUUCUACCCUCGGCCCUGCUCGGCGGCCUCCACGCCCCUCCUCCCCUUGACCUCGGUUCCCUGGUUUCUCGAGGGGGCUGUGUGUGUGCGAGUGUGUGUGCGUGUGUGUGAAUGUCCAGGGCCCAGAGGGGCCGGCCGGUGGAGACGGGCUUGCAAACCUCCCCCAAAGACUGCAGCUGCUAUGCUCCAGUGCAGACAGACAAUCGGACAGGAAGCCUUCACCUGUGGCUUGGUGACCACUUGGACUGGCCAGUUCUUUCCCUCCAGCCCAUGUCUUGCAGCACAUUUCCAAGUGGGAAAGUCAGUUCCUGGAAUAUCAGGACGAGGCGCCCUGGGGGCUCCACCAGACACUGAGAGUGCAAGGUAAGGAAGGACGAGGGCCAGCCCAGGUAGCCGCAGAGCCAGUCUCUGCAGCAACCAGCCAGAAGACCAGGCCACAUGCCCUAAGCUGUCCCUCACCACCAGCUCCCUGCUGUGUGCUCCUGUGGCCAACUCAACAGAACCACAAAGCCACAGAGGCCCUGCGUCUGGUCCUCCCACCACCAGCUUCCUGGGACCAGGGCCCUGGGCUCCCCAGAGCCGCCCCUUCUCCCUCUGCAGCCUCUGUGUCUCCCAAUAGCUACCUGAGUGGUCUUGGUUCAUUCCACAACAGAGACCCAGAAAGGGGUGGGCAAUUGUCCCAGGUGGCGCUGGCAGGAGGCAGAGCCCUGCUCUUUCUUUGCUGCCCCUGUACAGUUUCCCUGCGGACUCGCUCCACCUGGAAGCAGGUGGGCUGACUCCCAGCCUUCUCACCCCUUGGCACACACUUCCAGCUCAGCACCUGCCACUCACGGGCUGGGUGGAGGCAGACCAGAACCUUGUGAUGCUCCUCCCUGCAGAGGCGGAGCCCCGUUCCCACCUCGGCCUCCUUGACCAGAUGCUCUUCUAAUCCUUUUAUAUUUGUUAGAAGGAAAAGCAAAAAUGUCACCUGAAAACCAAGUCAACAGGUGCAGCCGGCUCCUCCUUCAGGUCUCUCACUCAGGGAAGCUGGCUGCAGUGCUGUGGGGACUCACAAGCCACCUGAACAGAGGACCACUGAGAAGGAGCUGAGAGGACCUCGGCCGACUGCCAGGGAAGACGCGGGGUCUCCUGUCAAAGCCAGGUGACAGGCCGUCCUGGAAGCAGACCCUCUGGCCCCAGUCAAUAUCUUAACCACAACCUCACGAGAGACUUGGAGCUGAGAGACCUAGCUCAGCCAGGUUCCUGGCCCAAGGCCACCGUGUGAGAUAAUAAAUGCUUGUUUCAAGGUGAUAGACAACAUGCAGCUAAUUAAAGCCACACUCUUCUGUGUUUAUUGGUCUCCGUGUCUAAGCUCCAUC